AGUGAACGCUGGCGGUAGGCCUAACACAUGCAAGUCGAACGGCAGCACAGUAAGAGCUUGCUCUUACGGGUGGCGAGUGGCGGACGGGUGAGGAAUACAUCGGAAUCUACUUUUUCGUGGGGGAUAACGUAGGGAAACUUACGCUAAUACCGCAUACGACCUACGGGGGAAAGCAGGGGAUCUUCGGACCUUGCGCGAUUGGAUGAGCCGAUGUCGGAUUAGCUAGUUGGCGGGGUAAAGGCCCACCAAGGCGACGAUCCGUAGCUGGUCUGAGAGGAUGAUCAGCCACACUGGAACUGAGACACGGUCCAGACUCCUACGGGAGGCAGCAGUGGGGAAUAUUGGACAAUGGGCGCAAGCCUGAUCCAGCCAUACCGCGUGGGUGAAGAAGGCCUUCGGGUUGUAAAGCCCUUUUGUUGGGAAAGAAAAGCAGCAGGUUAAUACCCCGCUGUUCUGACGGUACCCAAAGAAUAAGCACCGGCUAACUUCGUG
rnacentral:rRNA from 1 species